ensembl:lncRNA
AAUGGGAAAGGCCUUGUCAGGGCUGUCUGGGUGGUAGCUUUGCUACAGCAGGAACUUCUCCUGUGGAUCUGCUUCUUUCCCGUUCCAUGCUCCUGGUGUCUUUGUGCCCAAGUCCAUCAGAUGGAGUUUGUGGGGCAGAACGGAAGCCAACAGCAGCGUGAGCAGAGCUACCUGACUGUCCGUGACUCCAAGGGAGAAAUAAGUGCUGUAAAACGGAAAAAGACCAGCAAAAUACAAAAUAUGUGGUCAGCGAGACAAGAAACACAAAACACAAGGGCUGUGGUGCAGAAAGAGAUCACUUCUGACUCAGGAAUCACAGAACAUCUAGAAGGAACGAACAUUUCCAUGAUCAGUUAUUUCAGGAGACGAAAGCCCAGUCGUACACAAAUUGUGCUCCUCCCUGGAUGCUACUGCAGACAAAGAGCAGCUGGAACUCUCAAGACUUCCCCAGAUGUGCCCUUUGCCCCAGCUGUGAAGUGGACAAGCCUCUGGCGCUGACAUCAUUCUCGGAGCAGAAGGAAGUGGGCAGGGAGAUCAUGAACUGACUGGAGCAACCCUGCGGUGAUAGCUUUAGUUGAAACUGACUCAAUUUUCUAGAUUUGGGAAGAAUGGGGGGCCCAGAUAGACUUGACUUUCAAUUAUAGGAAAAUAUAGGCAGUUAGGUUUCUGGGCCCUGCGUGUCACACUGCACAACGAAAGGGAACAGCUCCACCGAACGAGCGUAAUCUUAGAGAGCCAGGGGCUUAGGUUCCCGACCAGAUGGCUUGCCCCCUUAGAUAACUAUUCCAUUUGCUUAAAAAAGGCCAGCAAGUUUUCCAUAUGCAGUGUGAUGACCAAGUGCCAAGGAAAAACACCAAACCCCAGAGAAAAAUCAACACCCCUGCUUUUUUCUAUAUUUAAGCCUUGCUUUGGAAAUGAGGAAUUUCCUCCCAAACAUCUCUAUGAAAACAUCUCUACCCACACACUCCGCUUUUUGAAAGAAUGUGCAUUUGAAAAAGAAAACCUGAAUGUACCUUUACCACAAUAUGCUGAGACAGACCACACACACCUGGUGAAAUUACAC